GAUGAACGCUAGCGGCAGGCCUAACACAUGACAAGGUCGAGGGGCAUCAGUGGCGUAGCAAGUACGCUGAUGGCGACCGGCGCGACGGGUGCGUAACGCGUAUGGAACCCUACCCACCGCGAGGGGGAUAACCCGCCGAAAGGCGGACUAAUACCCCAUGGUUCCCCGACCCUGCCUGGGGUUGGGGGUAAAGCCUACGGGCGGCGGUGGAUGGCCCUGCGUGCCAUUAGCUGGCUGGUGGGGUAACGGCCCACCAGGGCGACGAUGGCUAGGGGGUCUGAGAGGACGAUCCCCCACACUGGUACUGAGACACGGACCAGACUCCUACGGGAGGCAGCAGUGAGGAAUAUUGGUCAAUGGGCGGAAGCCUGAACCAGCCAUGCCGCGUGCAGGAUGACGGCCCUACGGGUUGUAAACUGCUUUUGUCAGGGAAGAAAUCUUCUGGGCUAAUACCCCGGGAGGAUGACGGUACCUGAAGAAUAAGCACCGGCUAACUACGUG
rnacentral:rRNA from 1 species